rnacentral:rRNA from 1 species
GACGGAGGAGGCAAGCGUUAUCCGGAAUUAUUGGGCGUAAAGCGCGCGUAGGCGGUUAUCUAAGUCGGAUGUGAAAGCCCUCGGCUUAACUGAGGAAGUGCACCCGAAACUGGAUAGCUAGAGUACGAAAGAGGGUCGCGGAAUUCCCGGUGUAGAGGUGAAAUUCGUAGAUAUCGGGAGGAACACCGGUGGCGAAGGCGGCGACCUGGGUCGAGACUGACGCUGAGGCGCGAAAGCGUGGGGAGCAAACAGG